rnacentral:lncRNA from 1 species
UCUCACUGUCGCGACCCCACGAGUGACCCAGGAGCGUGUAGAAGGCAAAGGCCUGGGCCUCUCUCGCUCCUAGUUCUGACCGGGAGUCUGGGCAGGGUCCAGGCAUCUGCGUUAUGGACCAGGCCUUCCAGAGGCUUCCGACCUGAGUCAGGGAUCCCGAGAGGACCCAGAUGAGGAUGCGGCUCCAGCUGUCUUCCUUCUGCAAACCCCUGAGGAUUCCUCUCCAGGGAGGAUUUUGAGUGGGGCAUGAGGAAUAUGCGUGUCUUCCAGGGAGAGGCUGUCUGAGACCACAAGCAGGGAGGGAGAUCCGUGUUCAGAGAGGCUGUUUGUCACCAGUGGGGGUCGGCGUGGUCAGGACGGGCCGGCGGAGGACCUGCAGGACUGGACAGAGCGGACGGGUGUGGACAGCUCUCCUCCCCUCUGCUCAGGGUGCAUCGUAGUGCAGGCCGGCGUCCCGGGUGUGCUGCUCUCGCCUGUGGCCGGAGGGGGUGGGUUUGUGGGCCUGGAGGAGCUGGCGGGAGGCCCCAGUCUGGGUGGGACGAGCCCGGCAGGGCAAGACCAGAGUGGGUGGAGUUGGGGACUGGAGGGCUCCCUGCAUCCAGCCCUCUGCGUGCUCUCUGCCGGCAUCGGGGUGCACAAGCCCACCAGCUCCCCAGACACACAGGAGCACGCAUGUACACACUCAGACACACACACAGACACACAGGAGCAUGCAUAUACACACACAGGCACACAUACAGACACACAGGAGCACAUGCACACAACCAUACACACAGGAGCACGUGUGUGCAUGUACACACACACACUACAAAGACGCGCUCCCGUGUGGUGCGUGUGUGUCUGUGUGUGUGCAUGCGUACACAUACACACACAUUCAGCAGCACAUUUGUCCACAUGUGCAUGGGAGCAUGCGUGCACACACAGGAGCACAUGUGCACGCACACACAGGAGCUUGUGUGUACACACACAGGAGCACAGGUAUGUGCACACACGUGGGAGAA